rnacentral:rRNA from 1 species
CAUGUAGGCGGAUUGGUCAGUUGGAGGUGAAAUCCCGGAGCUCAACUCCGGAACUGCCUUCAAUACUGCCAAUCUAGAAUCUGUAAGGGGGUGGUGGAAUUCCGAGUGUAGAGGUGAAAUUCGUAGAUAUUCGGAGGAACACCAGUGGCGAAGGCGACCACCUGGUACAGUAUUGACGCUGAGAUGCGAAAGCGUGGGGAGCAAACA